rnacentral:misc_RNA from 1 species
AGCAGAGGAUGAAGUCCAAGCAGCAA